rnacentral:misc_RNA from 1 species
GAUGAAGAACGCAGCGAAAUGCGAUACGUAAUGUGAAUUGCAGAAUUCAGUGAAUCAUCGAGUCUUUGAACGCACAUUGCGCCCCCUGGUAUUCCGGGGGGCAUGCCUGUCCGAGCGUCAUUGCUGCCCUCAAGCACGGCUUGUGUGUUGGGCCUCCGUCCUCCUCCCGGGGGACGGGCCCGAAAGGCAGCGGCGGCACCGCGUCCGGUCCUCGAGCGUAUGGGGCUUCGUCACCCGCUCUUGUAGGCCCGGCCGGCGCUUGCCGACACAUCAAUCUUUUUUUCCAGGUUGACCUCGGAUCAGGUAGGGAUACCCGCUGAACUUAAGCAUAUCAAUAAGCGGAGGA